rnacentral:rRNA from 1 species
AACGAACGCUGGCGGCAUGCCUAACACAUGCAAGUCGAACGAAACCUUCGGGCUUAGUGGCGCACGGGGUCGCAACGCGUGGGAACAUGCGCUUAGGUUCGGAAUAACUCCCCGAAAGGGGUGCUAAUAACGGGUACUGUUAUCGGAUAAAAGUUUUAUCGCCUUUGGUUGGGCCCGCGUUGUUUUGGUUAGUUGGUAGGGUAAACGCCAACCAAGGCGACGGUCCAUAGUUGGUCUGCUAGGCGGACCAGCGACACUGGGACUGGGGCACGGCCCAGACUGCGGCGGGAGGGGGCAGUGGGGAAUAUUGGGCGAUGGGCUGAAGCAUGGUCCACCAGUGCCGCGUGAGUGCUUAAGGGUUUAGAGUUGUAAAGCUCUGUUACCCGGGAUGAUAGUGACGGUACCGAGAGAAUAAGCACCGGCUAACUCCGUG